GAUGAACGCUGGCGGCGUGCCUAAUACAUGCAAGUCGAGCGAACAGACGAGGAGCUUGCUCCUCUGACGUUAGCGGCGGACGGGUGAGUAACACGUGGAUAACCUACCUAUAAGACUGGGAUAACUUCGGGAAACCGGAGCUAAUACCGGAUAAUAUAUUGAACCGCAUGGUUCAAUAGUGAAAGACGGUUUUGCUGUCACUUAUAGAUGGAUCCGCGCCGCAUUAGCUAGUUGGUAAGGUAACGGCUUACCAAGGCAACGAUGCGUAGCCGACCUGAGAGGGUGAUCGGCGACCCUGGAACUGAGACACGGUCCAUGCGCCUACGGGAGGCAGCAGUAGGGAAUCUUCCGCAAUGGGCGAAAGCCUGACGGAGCAACGCCGCGUGAGUGAUGAAGGUCUUCGGAUCGUAAAACUCUGUUAUUAGGGAAGAACAAAUGUGUAAGUAACUAUGCACGUCUUGACGGUACCUAAUCAGAAAGCCACGGCUAACUACGUG
rnacentral:rRNA from 1 species